rnacentral:rRNA from 1 species
UACGUAGGUGGCAAGCGUUGUCCGGAAUUAUUGGGCGUAAGCGCGCGCAGGCGGUCCUUUAAGUCUGAUGUGAAAGCCCACGGCUCAACCGUGGAGGGUCAUUGGAAACUGGGGGACUUGAGUGCAGAAGAGGAAAGCGGAAUUCCACGUGUAGCGGUGAAAUGCGUAGAGAUGUGGAGGAACACCAGUGGCGAAGGCGGCUUUCUGGUCUGUAACUGACGCUGAGGCGCGAAAGCGUGGGGAGCAACAGG